rnacentral:tRNA from 1 species
GGAGAGGUGGCUGAGUGGCUGAAAGCGGCACCCUGCUAAGGUGUUAAUACNNGUAAUCUAUUCGAGGGUUCGAAUCCCUCUCUCUCCGCAA